AUUGAACGCUGGCGGCAGGCCUAACACAUGCAAGUCGAACGGUAGCACAGAGAGCUUGCUCUCGGGUGACGAGUGGCGGACGGGUGAGUAACGUCUGGGAAACUGCCCGAUGGAGGGGGAUAACUACUGGAAACGGUAGCUAAUACCGCAUAACGUCGCAAGACCAAAGUGGGGACCUUCGGGCCUCACACCAUCGGAUGUGCCAAGAUGGGAUGAGCUAGUAGGUGGGGUAAUGGCUCACCUAGGAGACGAUCCCUAGCUGGUCUGAGAGGAUGACCAGCCACACUGGAACUGGGACACGGUCCAGACUCCUACGGGAGGCAGCAGUUGGGAAUAUUGCACAAUGGGCGCAAGCCUGAUGCAGCCAUGCCGCGUGUAUGAAGAAGGCCUUCGGGUUGUAAAGUACUUUCAGCGGGGAGGAAGGCGGUGAAGUUAAUAGCUUAACCGAUUGACGUUACCCGCAGAAGAAGCACCGGCUAACUCCGUGCCAGCCGCCGCUGUAA
rnacentral:rRNA from 1 species